CCCUAAUUAUGUCAAAGUAAAACAACAAAAAACCAUCUUAUGUGCUGGAUUGGACAAAAAAGUGUACAGAUAUUAUAAUCCCCACAAGACAGUUUCUAGCAAAGUCUUUAACAGGAACUUGCUCUCAUAAGACUACUAUUUACAAUAACCAGAUCUUGCUGAUGGUGUGCAAACUCUUUGAGAAACCCUGCUAAUGCUUUUUUGCACUAUUGGAGCUCAGCUUCCCCAUUUGACCGUCUCAAGGUUCUUUUUUCGAUCCAAAGAUAAAAUCUUUCACAGAACUCUCUGCUGAUAGUAUUGCCUUUUUAAUCUGCCAUUGCAAAAACAUAUCAAUCUUAUGCAGGUGGAGAAAAUCAAGCAAACAUCCAAUAUGGUUGAGACCAAUCAGUGCUAAACUAUAAAAUAUAAAAACUUCAAAAUGAAUGAUAUGCAUUCUAUUAAAUAUUAAUGAUAAAAAAACAGGCAUCUGGCUGAUAUCAUGGGAAGAUUACCUCAAGCAAGUGUUUGCCUUCCCACCAUUAUGCACAUGAUAAAUAAAAAAUAAUACAAGCGUUCUCUUUUCAUCAUAAUGUUUCAUUUUCAUGUAAUGAAAACCAGGUCAAUGAGAUAAGCAAUUUGUGUUUCCAAUGAGACUUUCAAAAAAGAAAUUGUGCAGAAUUGGACCAAAUUCAUGCCUAAAACUAUAGGUUGUACUUAUGGAAGGUCAGGAAGAGCAGAAGCUGAAGUUGCUUAUCAUCACAGCCAUAAUAUAUUUCUCCAUCCAAUAUCCAAUUCUAAAUCUAAGCAGUGAGCACAAUCUGUUACCCAAAAAAAAAAAAUCUGCAGUCAAAACUGUCCAACAGGUUUUCUAUCUUGGUUAUCACUUGGUUGAAUUCUACUUGACCUUGUUAUUCCAGUCAAUUUAUUAGACUGUUUCAACACGCUUGCUCCAUUGCUCAAUAAUGAAAGAAACGCCUAGUUCAAGAUGCCAGUACUCUAUGAAGAUCAAGGCAACUUUAAAAAAUAACAAACAUUAAAAAAAAAUUUAAAUUAAUAUUUACAUGCUUAAGUUAAAUUGACCAAGUAUUAUGUUGAAUUUUUACAGUUGACUCCAUUAUGCCCUUCAAUCCCUGCUGCAUCUUGCCUCAUAUUGAAGUUUUAAGUCAUUUCCUCCUAGUCUUCUUUACAAUUAAUAGUCUUUGUUACCAUGAUAAAUCAUCAAAGACCAUCACCACCUCCAGCAAUGAGAAGGUUGACAGCAACCACAAAUUGCUAAACAAAUAAUCAUAUUAAAAGCACUUAAAUUUAAGCAAAACACCCUACUCAAAUAUCCAAAAUCACCUAUUUAAAUCCAAUAAUAAUUGGAAAAUUAAGAAGAUAUGAUUCCAAGGAACUCAAUAGUUGAGCACACAUACAGAAAUUGAAUCCCAAAAGCAAUCGUGCAUUAUCGAGUCCAAUCAGAAAGAAAAUUUCCAAAACAUUUCUCAUCAUCCGAGCAAACAAAUCGUAUGAUUAGAAGACCAACAAAUGAAGAAAUAAAACUGAAAGAAGGGAACAUACUGGGUCGAAGGCAUUGGGUUCGGGGCCAUAGUCGGCAGUUAAGAGGAAAUAAGAAGCAACAGCAGUGGCGACCAUCGUCGUCCUCCUCACUAUCUUGUCAGUUUUAGGAUUCAUCCGCCACUUUCUUUCCCAGAGACGAGCAAUUUGGGAGUGGAAACAUACCAGUAAAAACUAGUAGAACGCAGGCG
rnacentral:misc_RNA from 1 species